GUACGACGACGACGACGUCGGAGGCGGCGCGGACUCCUCAAAUACAGUCAAACCCCAAUGGCCGAGCGGGCGGGGGUCUACGUCAUCGGGCGGUUCAGCUGUACCCACUGCGAUAGAGCGAUUGAAGUUCCGGCGAAUUCGGCGUGGCGUAGGUUAUCUCUCGUAGUUCUCGCGGGCUGAGUCUGGCUGCAAGAACGCGGAAAUUUGGUGUUGCUUUUGGACGAGGCCUGAAAAAACAAGAUGCUUGUAGGAAUGAUGAUGAUAUUAAUAAAUUAACUAGUUUAAUCUUCUGCACCAA